rnacentral:rRNA from 1 species
AUGUGUCACCUUUGGAAUCGGACAACAUUUAUCUUGUGUUCCUUCACUGUCGACAAUAGUAAAAACAGUAUUUCUGCGAAACAGAACAAGCAUGAUGCUCUACCAUGCAUUUUGAACUGUAGGUUUGGCUCAAUUACUUACUCAUGGAUACCUAAUACGUUGAGCGUGCUAUCAAACACCACCUUCCUAUUUGUCGGUCUCGCGUGGCUCAUCCUUUGCCACUACACAAACUACUUCAGGCUAUGCUCAGAGGGGGAGCGCUUGAGUUGGACACUGCUUUGCUGGUGUCACUUCUGGCGUGUUGGUUCAUCCUACUACCAUCUCUACGCGAACGAUGCCACCUUUGUUUGGGACAAAUUGCCUGUGAAUGACGUUGCUUUCACGUCUAUCGUGGCCAUUUUCAGCAUUAAAUGGGUUGAUGAUAGGUCAGGAACAAAGUCCCUUGCACCCCUUGUUAUUGCUGGUGCACUGAGCAUCAUUUUCUUUGAUGAUCUUCGGCCAUAUGCGGUAAUCCAGUUCAUGCCAUGCAUUGUAAUACCUGUGAUGACUAUAGUUAUUCCACCAAUGUAUACACAUUCAAGCUACUGGUUGUGGGCAGUUGGAUAUACUCUUAAGCAUCUAUGUGCUGCGAUGCUACCUGUUUUCUUUACUCUUAUGUUGGCAAAGAGGACAAUUGAACCUGACAGGUAUACAUCAGCUUACUCAAUGCGUCGCUUGAGUCAAUUUUUGUAUAGUUUCAGUUCGAUUGAACCACUUUAA